UACAGAGGCCCCAAGCGUUACUGAGAAUCACUGGGUUUAAAGGGUGCGUAGGUGGCGCGUUAAGUCCGUUGUGAAAUCCCUGGGCUCAACCCAGGAAUUGCUUCGGAUACUGGCGUGCUUGAGGCCGGUAGGGGUCACUGGAACUGACGGUGGAGCGGUGAAAUGCGUAGAUAUCAGGAGGAACACCGGUGGCGAAGGCGGGUCUCUGGGGCCGAUACUGACGCUGAGGAGCGAAAAGCGUGGGGGAGCGAAAUGGGG
rnacentral:rRNA from 1 species